rnacentral:tRNA from 1 species
GGCUCUGUGGCUCAGUGGUUAGAGCACUGGUCUUGUAAAUCAGGGGGCAUGGGAAUUCAAUCCUCACCAGUGUCC